GCGCCGGCGUGAGCGCAAAAGCAAAAGGAACUUUGAGGCCGUCAUUCGUUUUUAAUCGUGACUCACAGUCGUUUUCCACCCGGGUAUCUAUCAGACCUUGUUUCUUAUCCCUCACGAUUUUUCAAUUUUUACUACGUUGAAACGAAUUUUAUCUACAAAAGCACAAUAUGGCAAAAGAAGUUUACGACAAAGCUGUACCUGAGUUGAAGAAAGAAUUGAGCGAAAUCGCACAACAAAUUGUCGCUCCCGGUAGAGGAAUUUUAGCCGCUGAUGAAUCCACCACAACUAUUGGAAAGCGUCUUAAGGACAUCAAUGUCGAAAAUAACGAGGAGAAUCGAAAAGCUUACAGACAACUUUUAUUUACAACUGCAAAGGAUGUGAUUAGUCAACAUAUCUCGGGAGUGAUUCUCUUUCACGAGACACUCUAUCAAAAUAGCGACGAUGGAACACCAUUCGUGAAACUUCUUAAUGAACGUAAUAUCUUGCCGGGUAUUAAGGUUGACAAGGGUAUUGUGCCAUUAUUUGGCACCGAUAACGAAUGCACAACUCAGGGUCUCGAUGAUCUUCAGGCACGUUGCGUUCAAUAUAAAAAGGAUGGAUGUCACUUUGCCAAAUGGCGUUGUGUCUUGAAAAUAACUAAAGACACACCAAGUAAACUUGCAAUUCUUGAGAAUGCCAAUGUUCUUGCACGUUAUGCAUCAAUUUGUCAAAGUGCAAGAAUAGUACCAAUUGUCGAACCUGAAAUUCUCCCCGAUGGCGAUCAUGAUCUCGCGAGAUGUCAACAAGUCACUGAGGAGGUUCUCGCUGCCGUUUACAAGGCAUUGGCUGAUCAUCAUGUCUAUUUGGAGGGAACUUUAUUGAAACCAAAUAUGGUAACACCGGGACAAAGUUGCCCAAAGAGAGCAACACCUGAGGAAAUUGCAUGCGCCACGGUAACAGCUCUUCUUCGUACUGUACCACCGGCAGUUCCCGGUAUCACUUUCCUUAGCGGUGGACAAUCCGAGGAGGAAGCAUCAGUUAAUUUGAAUGCAAUUAAUAGACAUCCGGCAAAGAAACCAUGGGCAUUGACAUUCAGCUAUGGACGUGCCCUUCAGGCAUCUGUUCUUCGCGCUUGGGCUGGUAAAAAGGAUCAAAUUAACGCUGGUCAAGAUGAACUCAUCAAGAGAGCCAAGGCGAAUGCUGCAGCUUGCCAAGGAAAAUACGUUUCCGGUAGUGUCUCUAGUAAAGCUGGAGCUACUUCUCUUUUCGUCAAAUCGCACGCCUAUUAAAUUUCUCACUCUCACAAUUUUCUAUUGUUGUCGUUCUUGUUAUUUUUUAACUAAUUUUUAACGCCAACAGCGAAUCGGCACUUGGAAAAUAUGCAGGAGGUGUGGCAGGUGCAGCUGGAGAUGCAGCUUUGUUUGUCGCAAAUCACGCGUACUAAAUGAAAACAAAAUUUUAAAUAUAAAUUGUAAAAACAAAAACAAAAUUCUCGAAAACAAAAAAUAAUUGAAUAGGUAUUUUAUCUGUAUAAAAAAGAAAAUGAAAAUAUUUUCCUUUAAAAGAAUUUAGAAGGGGAAGAAAAAUUCAUUUUCAUCUGGUUUUUUUUUUUGUUUUAAAAUCAUCGUUGAUCGAAUUUUUUUUUUCUCUGAUUAAUUUAAAGAGAGGAAAUUUUAAAUUGUUUCUAUUUUUUUUUUAGUAAUUUUUACAUUUAAUUCCUCGCUUCUUGUAUUUUAAAGAAUUUCGUUUUUUUUUUAAAUACGAAUUGCGAUGGAAUUUUUUUUUUUUUUUCGUGACUGUCUCAAGAAAUAAUUGUCUAAUAUAAAGAAAUAAAUAAAACAGAAAAAUGUUAAGCCUCGAUAAAUUCGAUUUUUUGACAAGUUUCGCGAGAUUUUUGCAACAAAUUCUCUGUCAUAAUUGUUAUAAAAAAAAAAAAAUAAAUAAUUAAUAUCAAUUUAGGUGAAUGUUGUCUUGAAAUAUUAUAUUUUCUCGGCUUAAUAUAUGAAAUAAUAAUUAUAAUAAUGAUGAUGAAGAAGAAGAAAAAAAAAACUCAGUACUCACGCGCACGUGUACAACAAAUUUCUGUCAUUGUGACAAACAAUUGUAUAUUAUAUGAAAAAUCAAAUACGGAUAAAUUCACAUGUUACAUUAAAUGUUGUUGAUUAGUGGACGAGUCGAUUAUAUUGUAUUUACAAAAUAAAAUUAAUUAUAAACAUUA